UACAGAGGAGCCAAGCGUUGUCCGGAUUGACUGGGCGUAAAGAGCUCGUAGGCGGUCUGUCGCGUCUGCUGUGAAAACUCGGGGCUUAACCCCGGGCCUGCAGUGGGUACGGGCAGACUAGAGUGCGGUAGGGGAGACUGGAAUUCCUGGUGUAGCGGUGAAAUGCGCAGAUAUCAGGAGGAACACCGGUGGCGAAGGCGGGUCUCUGGGCCGUAACUGACGCUGAGGAGCGAAAGCAUGGGGAGCGAACAGG
rnacentral:rRNA from 1 species